GAUGAACGCUGGCGGUAUGCUUAACACAUGCAAGUCGAACGGACUCUUCGGAGUUAGUGGCGGACGGGUGAGUAACGCGUGAGAAUCUGGCUUUGGGUUCGGGACAACCACUGGAAACGGUGGCUAAUACCGGAUGUGCCGAGAGGUAAAAGAGAAAUUGCCUGAAGAUGAGCUCGCGUCUGAUUAGCUAGUUGGUGAGGUAAAGGCUCACCAAGGCAGCGAUCAGUAGCGGGUCUGAGAGGAUGACCAGCCACACUGGGACUGAGACACGGCCCAGACUCCUACGGGAGGCAGCAGUGGGGAAUUUUCCGCAAUGGGCGAAAGCCUGACGGAGCAAUACCGCGUGAGGGAAGAAGGCUCUUGGGUUGUAAACCUCUUUUCUUAGGGAAGAACAAAAUGACGGUACCUAAGGAAUCAGCAUCGGCUAACUCCGUG
rnacentral:rRNA from 1 species